rnacentral:snoRNA from 1 species
GUCCAAUGGGGUUAACCUCUCCAAGGGGCUAGCUGUGCCCUUUUAAGGAACAUAGCAACAUGGAUGCCUAGUUAU